rnacentral:rRNA from 1 species
GUCCACGCCGUAAACGAUGGGUGCUAGGUGUGGGGGGUUUCGACUCCCUCCGUGCCGAAGCUAACGCAUUAAGCACCCCGCCUGGGGAGUACGGCCGCAAGGCUAAAACUCAAAGGAAUUGACGGGGGCCCGCACAAGCAGCGGAGCAUGUGGUUUAAUUCGACGCAACGCGAAGAACCUUACCUAGGCUUGACAUGCACGGGAAUGUCGUGGAAACACGGCAGCCCUUCGGGGCUCGUGCACAGGUGUUGCAUGGCUGUCGU